CAGAAACCCUUCUAGCUACUGGGGCAUACAGCAGUAGACAAGACUGAUAUCACAUACACCCACAUUCAUAUUUAUAUAUUAUACACACAUUAUAGCAAUGAGUCCCUGGAGGAGGGCACGGCAACCCACUCCAGUAUUCGUGCCUGGAGAAUCCCCACGGACAGAGGAGUCUGGCUGGCUAUAGUCCAUGGAGUCGCAAAGAAUCAGACAUGACAGCGACUAAGCAUAGAACAGGACAGUAUAGCAAUGAGCACUAUGAGUGAGAAAGAACUGGGGCAGAGUAAAUGGGAUACAAACAUGUAUAUAUAAACCAUCCAAGGCCCCUCUCAUAAGGUAGAAUUUAGCAGCACCCAGGGGGAAGUUAGGGAGGCAGCCGUUGUGAUGCUUGGUAGAGGAUAUUUCAGCAGGUGGGAAUAGCGAGAGCAAAGGUCCUAGGGCAGAGACAGUUUUAGAAAGAUCUAGGCUGCAAUAAACUUGAAGAUAGUAAGGUGCCUGCAGCAGGAGGUAAGGAAGGGAUAGGGGCAGAUGGGAGCUGGGCCUGUGGGGGAGCUUUGCCCUCAGCUCCCUCAGGACCCUUGCUCAUGCCCUGCCUCCUGACACUUCCCUUUUCUGGGUAGGGGUAGGCACGUGUAUUAAUUAACUUCUCCAUGUUCUUUGUGUCACUUCCCAGGUGGCUCAGAGGUUAAAGCGUCUGCCUCCAAUGCGGGAGACCUGGGUUCGACCCCUGGGUCAGGAAGAUCCCCUGGAGAAGGAAAUGGCAAUCCACUCCAGUAUUCUUGCCUGGAGAAUCCCACGGACGGAGAAGUCCAUGGGCUCGCAAAGAGUCAGUCACGACUGAGCGACUUCACCUCACCUCACCUCAUGUUCUUUGUGUGUCUCAUAGGAAGUUUUGGUGGGCUCUCAGCAGUGUUGGACUGUUUCCUGCUGCUGACUCAGAGAUGGGUACAAGGAGGUGACUGCCAACUCCUCUGCUUGGAAGAUCCUACUGACCUUUUCUGACCGCUGCUGGACACCUCAUCUCAGAAGCCCUCCUGGUCCCUCCAGCUCCCAGGGGACCCAAUCAGUGAUGCUGGGUGCAGGACUGCUGGACAGGCACUCAGCACAGGGGACUCCUCUGUGGUCGGUGAAGAGUAGAUGCCUG
ensembl:lncRNA